rnacentral:rRNA from 1 species
AUGGGCGGGCCACCGCUGCCGCCGUUCCAGGCGGGGCACCCCUCGCGGCGCCAUCCGGCUCCCGCCCCAGUGCCGCAGUGGCCGCACUGGCCCGCGCCAGCCCCAGCCGCGCCGCCCGCGCCGGUCCAGCUCCCACCGCCGCCGCCCAGCUCCGGACUGGGCCAGUCCACACCGGGAGACCUCCCGAUCCAGCAGGUCCGGUUUCCGCCGUCACCGUCCCAGAUCCCGGCCUGGCUAACCGGGACGUCGCCACCGCCAGUUUACACGGAGGCCGGGAACCCACCGGUACCCACGCUGCAGUCUGGGGCCUCGCCCGGCUCCGCGGGGGCCUAUGACGGUCUCCCCACCGUUGACCGGGCGCCGUCAUCAUCACUGCUCCGCACCGCCGAGCCGGUCGGCCAUGGCGCGCCGACCCAGACGCCGCCACGGUUCGCCAAGAUCGACUUCGCCACUUAUGACGGCACGGAGGACCAGCUUAACUGGCUCAACCAGUGUGAGCAGUUUUUCCGUGGACAGCGCACGCUCGCGUCGGAGCGCACUUGGCUGGCAUCCUACCACCUCUGCGGUGCAGCCCAGACCUGGUACUACGCCCUCGAGCAGGACAAGGGCAGCAUGCCCCCUUGGGAGCGCUUCCGCGAGCUCUGCCUACUUCGUUUUGGGCCCCCGAUCCGCGGGAGCCGCCUGGCGGAGCUAGGCUGCCUUCCCUUCACCUCCACGGUUCAGGACUUCGCCGACCGUUUCCAGGCCCUGGCAUGCCACGCGUCGGGCGUGACGGCGCAGCAGCCGGCCAACCUCUUUGUCGGUGGACUUCCGGAUCACAUCCGCGUGGACGUGGAGCUUCAGGGACCCCAGGAUAUCCAGACGGCCAUGUACUACGCCCGCGCGUUUGAGCGCCGCGCGGUGGCCGUCCAGCAGGAGUCACCGUCCCGGGCUACUGGGUCGCUACCCUGGCCAGAUCCUGCUCCGUGUCGGCCUGUUCAGGCUUCCCCGGCACCCCUCGCCGCGACCGCGGCGCGCCCGUUCCGCCGGCUCACCUCGGCCGAGCUACUCGAGCGUCGCCGCCAAGGGUUGUGCUUCAACUGCGACGAGCCCUACACGCCCGGCCACGCCUGCCCGCGACUCUUCUACCUGGAGGUUGCAAACUACAUUCCAGAGGACGCCGUCGCCGCCGACCUUGCCGCCCCAGCUGUUGCGAAGGUGUUUGACGCUGGUUGA